CAAAUCACAUUCCGGGAUUCUGGCGAUUAUCUGAGACUCUCUGAGCUUCGGCCUCUCUCUCUCUGGAUCGAAUUCGAAUCCGAAUCCAUGGCUGCAGCAUCCUUAUCGUUUCUCUGUGGACCAAAUUUAUGCAGCCAUAGCUCAAGAAAACAGACCCCGUUUUCGACCCCCGUGCCGGCGGGCUUCGGCGGGAAUGCUAGGUCCGUCCGGAGAAAGAAACUCCGCCGGAGUUUGAGCGUGCUUGCUGUAACCGAGAGCUCCAGAAAAUCCCAAGAAGGACAGAGCGAAGAAGAAGAGUCCAUACCCUCCUGGGCUAAGCCGGGCUCCAACGAGCCUCCUCCUUGGGCUCGCGACGAAGCCGCUCGGACUGCGUCGCAACAGAGCUUCCAGAUCCCCUUCGUCGUCUACUUGCUUGCCUCCGCCGUUACUGCCAUAGCUGCCAUUGGAUCUGUUUUUGAGUACGUGAAUCAGAGGCCUGUUUUUGGAGUUUUGGGCUCAGACAGUGUUUUUUAUGCUCCAUUGCUUGGAUUCUUCGCCUUUACUGGCAUUCCCACUUCUGCAUUUUUGUGGUUCAAGUCUGUUCAAGUCGCUAACAAGGAAGCGGAGGAACAAGACCGGAGAGAUGGCUAUCUGUAGACUUGAACUCUCAGCCAUUACCACUGAAAGUAAAUCCCCUUAUGGGCUUGUAUAACCCAUCAUCUGUCAAACUCAAUUCUAAUUUUCCAAGCUUGUCGUGCAGCAAACCAACCUAAUUAGUUGCUGUAGAUGUGCUUGAAAUAAGGCUGGGAGAAAUCCAACCAAAUGGGGAGAGACUUUCAGACAAGCAACAAGUCUUGUAACUUCAGUUUAAGUUAUUGGAUCAUACAUUGCUUGGAAAGUGAGAAGAUAUGUUCGACAAUGUGCAUGUACACUUGGGAAUUAUCACAUGCCCAACAUUAUAACUAGGGCAUGGACAAGGGCUAGCUUGAACUAUGUAUGAUAGAUAAUAUAUGCGUGUAACAACUUAUAUGUGUAACGCCUUCUUUAAUGCAUGAGAAUUUCCACUUUGUAAAGGUUGAGACAUGAGAGUGAUGUUUUUGCAUAUAUGCAAGAAUAAAUGUGCUAUUUUUCUUCUU